AGAGAGUAAAAAAGUAACAGCAGCAACAAGAAAGGGAGUGUGUGCAACCCUUAGCGCAGCACUGGGCUAGAAAACGACACGAAAAGGUACACAGAGUGGACUGCUGUCGCUGAGCAAAUGCACCAAUAGUAACGUUACGCAGCGUUAAAUCGGCACGGAUUUAUCGUACGAUUUUUUGUUUGAUUGAGUGUUUGCACUGAAUCAGCAGCCAGAUUGAUUGUAACUAAAACAGCUUACAUCCUUGUGGCGCUCCGCUUUGGUUUAAUGCGAAGUUAAUUGAGCCCCCCUAACCAACCGGCACAACCACCUGACGCAGGCUGAACUCUUCAAAAAUCACGCAUCGUAAGGUACACUGUUGCCUUCGCAGCCAUCGCCGCCUACUGCUACGUUGUGCUCACCUGCCUAAAUGCUGUAAACACGUCCUGAGAUACACCCUGCUGAUUGUUGACUAGGAUCAACAGUAUCAUCAUCAUCAUCAUCAUCAGCAUCACCUUCCACACCGUCACCGUUUGCAAUUGCUUCUUAAAAAGGACAUAUUGCGUGUGUUGUGUGUUCUGUGUGCGUGCCACUCUGCUGCAGCUUUGGCAUGCUGUGUAACAACAACGACGACCCGAUGAAGAAGUAGUAGUAUCCGUAUUUGGGGUUUCAUUUUUCAGUUUUCACGAUCGUGUUGUGUUUUUUCUUAGUUUUGUUUGCAAAGACAUUCGUUUUUUUGUGAGUUUCUGUUACUGCGUUUUUGUAUUUAUAUUUUGUGUUUAUUAGUGUUUAAUGGUAUAGUUUAUUCUGCAGUAGAAAGAUUGCUUUCAAUCCAAAACUACCCGUAAGAGAGCGAGGGAGAGAUAAAGAGAUCACGUAAUAGAAAUUGAACAAGAAUAGCAAAGUUCAAACAAAUUUGCAUCGUGUAUACUAAUCCGUUUGUAUAAGUGUAUUGUGUAAAGUGUAUUGAACGAACGUGCAAAGUGCUCGUGUUUGUGUGUGAGUGUGCGUGUUUUAUUUUAAUUUAUUACGACACCAGAUUUCAUCUGGCACCGAGGACACACUUUGUACCCACUUCGGAGCAGGAGGGCUAAGUAAACCCACAACAAAGAGAGAGAGAGAGGAUACUCUAGGAAAGGCCAGAGCCAGACAACACGUCAAAAUGAGGAAAACCGACACACAAAUGAACGUAGCUGGCAUACGUCGCAACAUCAAGAACCUCGCCCACAACUACUCCGAUGCGCAGGUGAAGGUGCGGGAAGCCACCUCGAACGACCCAUGGGGCCCUUCGUCCACGAUCAUGGCGGAGAUUGCCGACCUCACGUACAACGUGGUGGCCUUCUCCGAAAUCAUGCAGAUGAUCUGGAAGCGCAUGAACGACCAUGGCAAAAACUGGCGGCACGUGUACAAGGCACUGCUACUGCUGGAGUACCUCAUCAAAACGGGUACGGAGAAGGUGGCGCAACAGUGCAAGGAAAAUAUCUACGCCAUCCAAACGCUGAAGGAAUUCCAGUACAUGGAGGAGGGCAAGGAUCAGGGCAUGCACGUGCGCGAAAAGGCGAAACAGCUCGUAUCGCUGCUAAAGGAUGACGAGCGGCUGAAGAACGAGCGGGCCCGUGCCCUGAAGGCGAAGGAACGUUUCGCCCGAACGGCCAGCGGGUUCGGUAGCGAUGGUUCGAUCGAUGGCCCAACGCAGCGUGACCCAAGGCCACCGAACUGGGGCGAAGGCGAACCGAUUGCGGGGGCAGCAACGAGCGGUGUCGGCAAGCCGGUGUCUGAGAUUGAGUUUGUGCGACCGCAGACGGUCGGCGAGGAGGAAUUGCAGCUGCAGCUAGCGAUGGCAAUGUCGCGCGAGGAAGCGGAACAGGAGGAGCAAAAGCGCCGCAGCGACGAUGUUCGAUUGCAGUUGGCACUCAGCCAAAGCGAGCAGGACUUCAAGAAAGACGGCGAUCCCCCAGCAGGAAGUAGCGCGUUGGUGGAUUUGUUGGACAUUUCUUUCGGAGCGGCGUCCAUAAGCAGCCCGUCGCAGCAACCGCUCGCCGGUCCCUCCGGUACCAGUGGUACGAUCGAUCCCUGGGGAAUGCCCGUUGCCGGUGGAUCCCGACCGACGACGACGGAUCCCUGGUCGCGAACGUCAUCUCCGCCGGCGGUAGUAGAUCCGUGGCUAAACACUGCCUCGGCCCUACCUACGGCGGGACCAUCCACCUCGAAACCUCCGCUGCUUGGAGCGGACACGUGGCAACCGCGCACACAAUCGCCCUCGGUAACGUCUGGUUCGUCGGUUGAGGGAUGGUUGCAAAAUGGUGCAGGUGCAGGUGCCGCUGCCGCCGGACCGAUGAUGAUGAACGGUGCCGGAGCUUCAAAUGGAAAUCUGGACCCGUGGUACAGCAAAACGAAUGCUGUCCCUAUUGGAGCUACUGCGCCUCCCCUGGGCGUUGCUUCAGGCGAUCCUUGGCAAGCGAAUAAACGAUCCACGCCCGUGCCUACUGCUGCUGCUGCCAGUGGUGAUCCGUGGCAGGCAAACGCAUCUGCUGUUAAGCUAGAUCCGUGGGCUCCAGUUAGCAAUAACUCAGCCACGGGAAGUGUUGGAGAUUUGGAAGCUACCUUUGGCGCAGCUGGUGGACCUCUAAUGAAUCGACCCUCACCCGUUGGUGCUAUCACUUCACCGGUGUCCGAUUUGGACGAAUUUGACAUUAUUACCAAGCGGGCGGCAAGCAACAAUAGUAGCGGCAGCACCACCAACAACAAUAAUAACCACAAUGCCGCCAGCAACAAUCUGAAUAACAACAGUUCACUGCUUCUCGGGGACCUAGAUCCACUGUCAUCCUCCGGCACGAACUCGAGCUCACCCAGCAUGGGCGCGUCGACGGCCGCAAAGAAGACACCGCAAUCGUUCCUCGGCGAAAACUCGGCCCUCGUAAACCUGGACAAUCUAAUCAAACCAAUGCCGAGCGGUGGCAGUGUGGCGGCAGCGGCCACAUCGUCCGCGGCAUACAAUCCGUUCGGCGAAACCGGCGGUGCCGGUGCACCCGUACAGAAGAACCUAUUCCAACAGAAUCAACCUCAGGUUCCGUCCAUCAAUCAAUUGAAACAGUCCCCGUUCCCAGUAACGCUUAAUCAGGACCCGUGGGCACCGGUUGCAAACAUGACCACAGCGCAACACGCCACGUCCAGUAGUAAUGGGGCAUGGACGCUAAAAUAGAACGUCCCUUAACAAUCGUGCGCGUGUUAAAUCGGAAACAAAACCUUUCCUCACCGUUCACCCAUUUCCCUCAUCCCAACUAUCCACACCACUGCCUCCCUCCCUCGAUCCCUUUCACUUUCCCCCACUGUAGGUAGUAAUUGAUCCGAUCGUCCGUUAAAUAAUAUCCUGUCGUGUUGUGCGCAUUGGACCUUCAUUGGGUGUGCUGCUUCCAUGGGCUUGCUGGCUGGCUGGCGCAACAGGGAUUUGGUGAUUUGGGCUGAAUCUUCUAUCACACACCACAAACAAACAAACAAAAAGUGUGAUCCAGUAACAUGCUUGUGCUUGUGCGGUGAUUGUAUGCUUUAGUAUAUGCCCGGGUAUGCCCCCAGCAACAUCAACAGAACAUCCAUCAAUGUCUCUCUCUCUACAACACAACCCAAGCUGCUGCCUCCUUCGCGCGUGUAUUUAUGUGUGUGCGUAUGUGUUUGUAUUCCCUUGUACGGGUUUGGGCGCCGGAUCGAACCUGCGACAUCAACCACGUGUACCACACCUCUGAGGAACAACAACUGUCUGUUUUAUCCCGCUCGUUCAGUGUGUGUGCGUGUAUCCUACGGUAGCGAAAAGUGCUCGCUUCUGGCCAAUCUAAACAAUAACAAUAGCGCUCCCUGGAUGAAUCCUCAAUCGUCGAAUCCAUUCCUCUCGUAACAAGUUCCCACAACCCAGCUAGAGGUCCAUGGCGCAGUGCGCCCCUGGCAGCAUCCGCAAAACCUUCGUGCUCUCGACCCAACCAUUAGCAAGGGUGCAAUCGAAAUGAGCUUGUCAUGUGUAUGAAACAUGGAGCAAGCGCCGAGAGGGCGUUGAGAUACAAUCACAAGUGGGGGUAGUAGAUGAAAAACGGUGAGAAGAAAGGCACGGAUAACGUGAAAUGUAAACCUAACCAAACCAAGUUUUUAAAAAAUGGAGAGGGAGAACAGUAGCAGAACCCAGGAGGCAAUACGACACUAAACUCACACUAACCAACCAACCAACCAGGAAUAGGGUAGUGAAGCAAAACCAAGCAAACAGGAAUAGAAUACAUCGAGCUAGUUUUCUACGUUUCUAACCGGAACCGGAAAUCACCUUUAACGUAAGCAUCUGAAAUUGAGUGUAGAAAACCAAUUGGCAGGAUGAGAGGGGGGAAAAGCCCUCACCACAUUUUGAGUCAUUUACAUCUACAUACACACAUACACACAAACUUUCUCCUACAUGUGAAUUGUGCAACGGAAAUCGUAGUUCAAUAAGCUUACCGAUCAAUGCAGUCGCUGUUCUUGAGGGGGGGAUGGAUCAGAAACACUGGGAAUGGAGAACAAAGCCAGCAAAACAAAAAUUCUCCAAUUCUGUUCGCUAUAUUGGUGUACUGGCUGGCCAAUUUCACUUCACUGGAUUAUACCGCGCUCGAUGGUUUCCUCCAACAAAAAAACGUGAUUUCAGAUAAAAAAUUCCACAAUUUGUUGGAAGAAAGAGAGGAAGAUAUCGAAAGAAGAAAAAAGGAGAGGGAGAUCGAGACACUUGUUACUGAAACAACGAUUCUGCAGCGGCUGUAACAAUGUGUGUGUGUAUGUGUGUCGGGAGAACGACAGAACUGGCCGGCAGGAAGUAGGAUGGAAGGAAGGAUAGGAAGAAUUUAUGCAAAUUAAUGAAAAAUGCCUUAUACUAGUUGAAGAAAGAAGAUGAAAACACGAUGGAACCGCAAGGAGAGAGAGACUACAUUGUGUAAGCUCUUAAAAUAAUACUACAGCUACUACUAAAUGAUAAAUGAAACACUGAUACCACAACACACUAACCCCGGGAGGAAGAGGGAAACAUGUCUGUGCGCAAACAGGUUCUUUCAGGAUGCCUGUUUGCGUUUGUCGGGUUAGGAAAAGAAACGGAAGGUUAAUUUCGGGGAAAAUUAAGUUGUUCAGAAAGUUGGCACUUUUUAUUAGCUAGAUUAGGGCUAGCUUCAUCAAAUUGUAUGAUCAUCGUUUGUUUUUUUUUUUUGCUCCCUUCUUAACAGUUUACAUUGUCCUCAAAAGCAGCAUCUCCUUUGGGUACUUUCUUUUGAGCCUUUGUUCUAUUGUAUUGACAAAGUUGAAUUGGUUAUUCCUAAAUUGACAAUGUCCUAAGGUCCACCGUAUUUGUUUAUGUUGAUCCCCAGGAAGUAUGAAUGUACACAGUUUAAUUUAUUAUAUUUGCUUCCUUGGAACAACUGACAAAAUGUGUGUGUGCGCGGGCGAGAGUUCGUGUCACGUGGAAGAGAUUUGGCGCAAAGCUCGCGCAAACUAUUGUGCUAUUAUACGUUCUAUUCUGUUCUUGAGAUCUAUUUCCAUUUCUGUUUGCUACCUUUGGCUCCUUCCGUUUCAUUGCUCUUUAAUGUAUUAUUUAGCGUAAGAUAACGCAAAGGCCGGUCUUAUUUCAUUGGUUGGGACGGACUAUGAUUUAAAAAUAAAGGAAUCGAACAACAAUGAUAGUAAGUGGCACGGAGGAGGAGAAAAUUAGUGGGUUUCGUCAUUCGUCGGAGGACGUCGUGUGGUUGGCUAAUUGUAUUGAACCUUUUUCUAUUAUACCACCAGGCAAUGGGGGGGGGGGGGGAGGGGGAGGGAAUUGGACACGAUGCGUUAAGGGAAGGGUUAGGAGGGACGGAUGCGUCACACAAUUAUAUUGCAAACAUGGAACAUGGAACCUCCAACGAGUGUGUUGGGAAUUUUGUGUUCACUAGCGUGGGUAUCUGUCUAGUGAAAAGAAAGCAAACUCUUCAUCCUUUCUUAGAAUGAUACAGAAAAAAAAAACAACCGAUUGUUUGUAUAGGGAUAAAAGGACAGGAUGCUAAAACAAAAUGGCAAAAAGUAACAACAAACAAAAAAAACUAUAUAUACAUGAGCAAAUGAAAUUAUAUAUAUAUAUUUUUAAAAUUCUGAAUAAACAAAUAAUUGAUUUUCAAGGA